UACGUAGGGGGCAAGCGUUGUUCGGAAUUACUGGGCGUAAAGGGCGCGUAGGCGGCACAGCAAGUCGGGAGUGAAAGCCCGGGGCUCAACCCCGGAACUGCUUUCGAAACUGCUGAGCUAGAGUACAGAAGGGGCAACCGGAAUUCCCAGUGUAGCGGUGAAAUGCGUAGAUAUCUGGAGGAACACCGAUGGCGAAGGCAGCCCCCUGGGCUAACACUGACGCUGAUGCACGAAAGCGUGGGGAGCAAACAGG
rnacentral:rRNA from 1 species